rfam:Heligmosomoides polygyrus genome assembly, scaffold: HPBE_scaffold0000034
GCGCCGGUGGUGCAAAGGCGUAGAGCAUUCCCGCCCGGUCAGAGGGAGGUGCGGGUUCGAGUCCCGCCUGGCGCU